UACAGAGGUCUCAAGCGUUGUUCGGAUUCAUUGGGCGUAAAGGGUGCGUAGGCGGCGCGGUAAGUCGGGUGUGAAAUCUCGGGGCUUAACUCCGAAACUGCAUUCGAUACUGCCGUGCUUGAGGACUGGAGAGGAGACUGGAAUUUACGGUGUAGCGGUGAAAUGCGUAGAUAUCGUAAGGAAGACCAGUGGCGAAGGCGGGUCUCUGGACAGUUCCUGACGCUGUGGCACGAAGGCCAGGGGAGCAAACGGG
rnacentral:rRNA from 1 species